rnacentral:rRNA from 1 species
ACGAACGCUGGCGGCGUGCUUAACACAUGCAAGUCGAACGGUGAAGCGCCUUCCUUUUUGGUGGGUGUGGAUGAGUGGCGAACGGGUGAGUAACACGUGAGCAACCUGCCCCCUUCUUCUGGAUAACCGCAUGAAAGUGUGGCUAAUACGGGAUAUUCUGGGUCUGUCGCAUGAUGGGUCUGGGAAAGAUAUUGUUUCGGUGGGGGAUGGGCUCGCGGCCUAUCAGCUUGUUGGUGGGGUGAUGGCCUACCAAGGCGGUGACGGGUAGCCGGCCUGAGAGGGUGGACGGUCACACUGGGACUGAGACACGGCCCAGACUCCUACGGGAGGCAGCAGUGGGGAAUAUUGCACAAUGGGCGCAAGCCUGAUGCAGCGACGCCGCGUGAGGGAUGGAGGCCUUCGGGUUGUGAACCUCUUUCGCCAGUGAAGCAGGCCUGCCUCGUUUGUGGGUGGGUUGACGGUAGCUGGAGAAGAAGCGCCGGCUAACUACGUG